GAUGAAGAACGCAGCGAAAUGCGAAAAGUAAUGUGAAUUGCAGAAUUCAGUGAACCAUCGAAUCUUUGAACGCACAUUGCGCCCGCUGGAACUCCGGCGGGCACGCCUGUCCGAGCGUCAUUUCAACCCUCAGGCCCCCCUUCGCGGGCGGGCCUGGUGUUGGGGCCCGGCCGCUACCCUGCGGCCGUCCCCUAAAUCCAGUGGCGGCCUCGCCGUGAUCCCUUGCGUAGUAAUGCACCUCGCACCGGAGAGCGCCGUGGCCACGCCGUAAAACCCCCAAUUUUCAAUGGUUGACCUCGGAUCAGGUGGGAAUACCCGCUGAACUUAAGCAUAUCAAUAAGCGGAGGA
rnacentral:misc_RNA from 1 species